rnacentral:lncRNA from 1 species
GCAGUGCUGUAACGUUUGCAGCAUGUGUUUCUAUGGAAGUCAUCUUUCUUACUUUCUUUUAUCCAGGCAUCAAAAGAAAAACAAAAAGAAGAAGGCGAAGACUGGAGCACACACACAAUGGUUUUCCCUGUCAUCUUUGCCAAAGAAAAGAAGAAAGGAAACAAACACCAUUGCAUCAGCUUCACAAGCAGGCACGCGGGGCAGGACAGCCAAAUGUUGGUCGGCUUUUUCUGUUUAAGCACCAUCUGGAAGUCGCUGCGAAACGCGAUGCGCCCAGGGAGGUUCUGCGGAAAGGGACUGGAGAGAAUGACACACCACGAGAUCCCCUUUUCCCAGGAAGUAAAUAGACGCUGCUCUGCAGCUGGCCAAAGCGCGGAGAGGAGGAGGUUCCCGCCGGGUCAAGCACAGGAUUUGCAGCCCUGGCUGGGAGACAGGAGCUCUUGA